UACGUAGGGAGCAAGCGUUGUCCGGAAUCAUUGGGCGUAAAGCGCGCGUAGGUGGCUUCGUAAGUCCGCUGUGAAAGUCAAAGGCUCAACCUUUGAAAGCCGGUGGAUACUGUGAAGCUAGAGUCCGGAAGAGGCGAGUGGAAUUCCUGGUGUAGCGGUGGAAUGCGCAGAUAUCAGGAGGAACACCAAUAGCGAAGGCAGCUCGCUGGG
rnacentral:rRNA from 1 species